rnacentral:piRNA from 1 species
CACGCGAGUGCAGUUUGGACAGCAGCUCUG